AUUAAAGAAUGUCUUAAAUAGUAGAUACAUAGUUUUACACAUAUUUCAACAAUAGAUAAUUUUUUCUAACUAAUUCUUUGUCAAUGAGUACUUAGUAGGUACUCAUAACUUACUCUACAAUCUCUCAAUUUAACAUUUUUCUGAAAGUGGUGGAUACAGCUGUUGUUGGUCUUGUUACACAAAUAACCCUCCUUAAAUUGGAACAUCCAAAUUGUGGCAAAUGAUAAUGAUGAGCAAGUACUAUCGAAUACAUCUUGAGAUAGUUGGUUCUUUGGCUCC